rnacentral:rRNA from 1 species
GACGAACGCUGGCGGCGUGCCUAAUACAUGCAAGUCGAGCGAAGUUUUUCUGGUGCUUGCACUAGAAAAACUUAGCGGCGAACGGGUGAGUAACACGUAAAGAACCUGCCUCAUAGACUGGGACAACUAUUGGAAACGAUAGCUAAUACCGGAUAGCAGUAUUUCUCGCAUGAGAGAUAUUUAAAAGUUGGUUAUGCUAACACUAUGAGAUGGCUUUGCGGUGCAUUAGCUAGUUGGUGGGGUAAAGGCCCACCAAGGCGACGAUGAAUAGCCGACCUGAGAGGGUGAUCGGCCACACUGGGACUGAGACACGGCCCAGACUCCUACGGGAGGCAGCAGUAGGGAAUCUUCCGCAAUGGGCGAAAGCCUGACGGAGCAACGCCGCGUGAGUGAAGAAGGAUUUCGGUUCGUAAAGCUCUGUUGUUAGGGAAGAAUGGAUAUGUAGUAACUAUACAUGUAAGAGACGGUACCUAACCAGAAAGCCACGGCUAACUACGUG